rnacentral:rRNA from 1 species
GGGGGGGGCAAGCGUUGUUCGGAAUUACUGGGCGUAAAGGGCUCGUAGGCGGCCAACUAAGUCGGAUGUGAAAUCCCCAGGCUCAACUUGGGAACUGCAUCCGAUACUGGAUGGCUUGAAUUCGGGAGAGGGAUGCAGAAUUCCAGGUGUAGCGGUGAAAUGCGUAGAUAUCUGGAGGAAUACCGGUGGCGAAGGCGGCAUCCUGGACCGACAUUGACGCUGAGGAGCGAAAGCCAGGGGAGCAAACGGGAUUAGAUACCCCGGUAGUCCUGGCCCUAAACGAUGAAUGCUUGGUGUGACGGGUAUCGAUCCCUGUCGUGCCGAAGCUAACGCAUUAAGCAUUCCGCCUGGGGAGUACGGUCGCAAGGCUGAA